GGGGGUGACAUGGUUUCGACAGGGAACCAGGGUGCGAGAGAUGCAUGCCGGAGACGCUAUCCACUCCGUUAUAAAGUAGCACGCAAAUUAACUGCAAACAACAACUACGCCUUAGCAGCUUAAGCUCGCUAACGUCCGUCCACUUCGGGCCGCCGGAGGUGAAACGGGCGUCGUAACAGUGCGGACGCCGCGAAGCCCAGCGCUCAUAAGCUUCGCCUAAGACUAUGAGCUGGGGCCAGAUGGGUCUGAUCGUCUCCGCCAUCUGAUCCGAGAUUAAAGACGACUAAGCAUGUAGAUUCACUCGUAAACGGUUUUUUGGACGCGGGUUCGAUCCCCGCCACCUCCACCA
rnacentral:tmRNA from 1 species